GAAAUGCAACAUGACUCCAGCGAUAUAUCUGCAAUAGCAGAAAAUGAUGAAAAUAUACCACAAACGCAAGAUAUUGGAGUUUUCAAAUGGCCACACGAAGCAAUUUUGUUAUUGGUCGAAGAAUAUCGUGUAUGGGAAAAAGAUUUUUCCAGUGGAAAAAUAUCUCAAAAAAGAGUAUGAAUUUUAAUUGCAGAACAAUUAGUAAAACAUGGUUAUAAUGUAACUGGUCCUCAAUGUUUAUCCAAAUUUUCCGGUUUAAAACGUACAUACAAAGCUAUUAAAGACCAUAAUAACAAAUCAGGAAAUGGAACUAAAUCGUGGCCAUAUUUUACUGUAAGAUAUUUAUAUAUAUA